ensembl:lncRNA
ACCUCACUCCCGGAGGCCCGAACUGCUGAGUUCCCACCCAACCGAACGGACACAGAAAGAAUCUGCCCGGCCCGGCCCCGCCCCCGGCCCCUGGAUUCCUCUGGGGGCUGGGCGGGAGGCUGCGGCCGAAAGGCGAAAGAGAGGCUCUUGGCCGCCUCUCCCCUCCUCGCCGUGCUCAGCCAGGAACUGUUUUAGUUUCUGUCUUCCUGGAUUCAGGGGGUCUUGCCCAGCAAGUCCCAGAGUGACCUGGUCACACAGGACCACUAGCCCUGCUCAGCUCCUGGCAGCCUCUCAGUCUAAACUGCACCCUCUUCAGGCCACACAUCAACUCUCCAUGUGUAUCUACCCAGCUGUGGUGCUGAUUUUAAUCCUGAAAGAUAUGUUCCAAAUACCAUAAUCCUGACACUGGAAAUCCUGAAAGAUCAAAAUCCCUAAACCUUAAAAUCCAGGAAAAAUCACAAUCUCAAAAUACUAAAAAUCCCAGAUGUUGAAGUCGUGAAAGCCAGAAUCCUGAAAACUGCAAUUCUAACUGAAAAACAAGGAAGGCUACAUAAGAGGGACAGAAAGCCAAACUCUGGGGAAAGGAUUAGUGCAUUUUGGGUUAUACACAGACUUGUUGCAUCUUAUGAGGUGGAUGAGACACCUAGAAACCUGGUCAAGCUUUUUUUGAGUGUCUGUGAGGAAGAUCCACACUCACUGUGGGCAGCACCAUCCAAUCUGCUGACCAAGCAGCACAAAUACACAGGCUAAUGGGUCUAAGAGUUGGCACAGAGCAUUCUUCAACCGCCUUGGACAUCAGAAUGCCAGGCUCACUUGCUGUUGGACUCCAGGACUUAGAUCAGCAAUCUCUAGAUCCCCAGACUUUUUUAUUCUAUUCCACUAUUCUAAAUUGUCAGCAUUAUUUUUUUUAUAUAUAAUUUGCUCUGCUAUGUAUUUCAUUGUUGCAUCAUUUCUAAUCCCGGAAGUAUAAAUUGUGUAGAGACUUUUAGUGAGCUCUAAUUCAUUUCAUGCCUUUUCUUUUUGGUAAAUUUGACUCAGUGAAAGUGCAGUUUCACAACAUUGACUUUGUGUGUAAGCAUUGUGCAUGCACGUAGAAUGUUGAAACUUAGUCGAUAAAUGAAAGGAUGUCCUUUACGUACAUCUACAUCAGAAGGUAAGAUUUCUUUUUUUUCUUUUUCUUUUUUUUUUUAGUGGAGAGUCUGAAUGAGAAAAGUAAGGCCUAUUUAUUUUCUAUCCACUCCAACGGCUCAAAUUCCUGGCGAAUCUGCCGCAGCUCUCACCGGAAGUCAAGAUAAAAUUUCUUAAAGUCUCAUCUCUGGUUGGUGGUUACCCAUUGUGGGUUUUGAUUGGUUGGUUUUUACAAUGCUGGUGACAGAAGCUAGGGCCUGACAUAUCCUAAGCAAGCAGUCUGUCAACUCAGCUAUACCUUGACCCCCAUCGUGGUUUUGGAUUGAUCUUGUCAAAAGAUUUAGGUCAUCUAUCAGAGUCUUCCAGAUAAUCACAGUUAUAAAUCUUGGUGCACAUAAAUUACCAACCAUACUUAUAUGUGUUUAUAAAUUUUGUUUCUUGACCUAUUUCUUAAUGAAUAUAGUUCAUCUGUUUAUAACCAUUAUAUCCAUACAACUGUUAUUUGUAUACUUUAGUGUUUAUGCUUGCAAAAAAUACAGUACAUUGAUAUUGUCUGUUGUAUUGUGUGAAGUGGCC